rnacentral:lncRNA from 1 species
GGUUGGGCUAUGGAGCAAAGGGACUUUGGUUUUGAGUGGUGCAAGAGUAAACACAGCAUGUUGUACCAGGUGCUGAAGAGUUUUGCCAAAUCAUAACAAGACUAUGAUAUUUUUUUCUUCCCUUUCUUUUUGCCUCCAUCACUGCUGUCCUACUGUAACUACAAUAUGUGAAUUGUGAAUUAUGCCCUUGUUACCAAGAGUAUAUUGAAUUGCAUGAGCAAAUCUCACGGGGAAACAAAUGGAAUAAAAGCUGUUCACUUUUAACAUGUUGCUACUAAAAGCUUUCCUUCAUAAUUUACAUUUAAAAAAUAAAUAUCUUUUUUUUUUCAUGUUUGCAUAAACUACUGGUAAUAAGUGGCGGCAAUAAAAAAUAAAAUAAAUAAAAUAAAUAAAUAAAUAAUUUUAAAAAAGCUCUCACAAUCCUUCCAGUUCAUCAAAUGUCAAAUAUCUCAAUAUUUAGUUUCAUGUGAUUAUCGAAAUGUCAAAUAAUGGUGGAAAAAAAAGACAGAAAAUUGGACUGAACCAUUAAUAUGAAAAGCAACUUUAUUACCAGAUGUGCAAUAAGAAUGGAUAAACACAGCAGUGUCAUCGGCAUAAGCACAAAUACCAAUAAGAUCAAAUGUGCAUGAAAACCAAAGCAGAACCGGUGAAAUUUGCCAUUAAUAUCAGAAUCAUAAAUGCUUCUUGUGCCGUUUCGGCCAGUCUGACACAGGCAGAAAAAUUAUAUACAUACCUUUAGCAGGUGGGGAAGAUGUUGAAUUACUUCACUCCCUCCUUGAGCGUUGUGAUCUAAGUCUGUCAGUAUUUCCAACAGUGCAACAGAUACAUACUUCUCUGAGCCACAGGCAUUUUUCAGGUCAAUCCAAGGCCACAUGAAAAAAAGGUUGUGAAGCUUUUACAUUAAAAACGUUGGGCCUAAAUAAAUGUUUUGACAAAAAUAUCGACUUCACUUUAUAAGACGAAGGAAAAAGAAAAAGAACAAAAACAACUGGCCUGAGUUUGCUUUGCUGUCUUUACCUGCACAUGGCUCCUUUCUCCCACCGGUGGAGCUUCUUCCCUCGUUAAGGAACCAGGGGUGCUCUGCUCUUCUGUAAACUGUGUCAGAGCACAACCCUCAUGGAAUAGUAGUGAAAACACUGACUUGGCGGGAUACCUCAUCGAUGGCAUUGCAGCAUAGUGCUUUCGAUGUGAAUGUACCUCGUCAGCUGCAGGAAAAGAAUGAAGAUGUCUCAAUAUAAAAUUCUCCCAAAUACUCAUAUAUGUCAAGUUUAUGAUCUCUGAGUUGAAUUAACAAACUCACAAAGACAACAAACAGAAGAGAAUGGCAUUAUGGGAUUGAUGAUUGCUGAUGUACUUCACCUCAUAAUCAAAAUCAGUUUUCCUCCAACGUAAAAACACAAACAUAAUCUGAUAUCUGUAAGGGAUAGUGUGUGUAUGGCUUUGGGGUGAAAGUGUGAUUGGGGCAAGCACAGGUAGACAGAGGGUAACUCUCUCCUUUGAGUGGGGAAUUAGUUUGACCAUUUAACCCCCCUUAACACCAGCCCUUAUGUCUGAGCCAUAAACACGCUCACCAAAUUCACAAAAGUCAAUGGGAGACACCGGGUAAAGGGGUUCAACUUUGGAUGGAAAAGCUUAAAAGCAGGCGGGAGAGCAAAUGAAAACAACAUCCCUUUAAAUCAGCUGCUUACCUUUCUGUCAGCUCUCCUAUCAAUCCAUCUUUCCCUCAUGAAUUCCUCCUCUGGUCUUGCUCUUGAUCCUUUACCCUGCCAGAUUUUAAACUAUCUUUUCCAGUGCCGUGUUUCAAUCUCUUAGCCUGUCCCUCUUUUGCAUGCCAUUCCUGGCGUAUCGUCCCCUCUCCCAGAUGGCGGCUGAUCUGCGAGACGUCUCAUUCCACUUCCCACAUAUGGAGCCCCUUCACUGGGCAAAGGAGGCUCUUGAUCCCCUUCCCAACACCCUUCCUGCCUUCUCCUUCUAGGCAAACUGAAGCAAAGCCAAAAACCUAGAUCAGGUCCCUGUGGGAAAUGUAUCCCUCUCGCCACAGGAGGCCAGGUAUUCUAACACCAGGAGGCCUGGCUGGAGCGACAAAAAUGUGUGAUACACCGAUCCAAACUCUGAUCCAUUUGGUAGCAGCUUCGGUGUCAGAUGCAUCCCAUGGGCGCCUCCUGCUGCAGUGUGAAACGCAAAUUAACAAUGCUCAUUCCCCCUCAUUGGUUCCCGAAGCCACCUGAUUAUGGUUCUAUCAUUCCAUUAGAAUAUAUAUUACUUUAAUAGAUUCAAUUUCAUGAUUACACAGAUAAAUAUGAGAUAAUCUCCAGGGGUGUUUUGUGGGAUAGUUAUCAGCGAGGAUACAUAUUAACAUUUUCCACACUAUGCAUAUUUAGGCGGCGGGGUUGUGUGUACAAGAUUGAAUGCAUGAGUUGUUGCUGUGGGAGUUAAACAGGAAUGGGCUCGCAAUUUCUCAGCUUAUUAAAAUGCAGCUAUACGGAGGGCUGACUUAAAUGGAUAACUAACAUGCUUGGUGCAUCGGGGACAGGAUGCAUGGAGACGACUAAGGGUUAGAGAGGAGGAAGCAGACAUUAAGAUAGCGAGGGAUCCAAACAGCCACCUUCAUAAAGUUUAACAGCGAUGUAAAAUGUGCUGAUUGUUUAUGAUCAGUGCGAGAGGGAGUCCAAAUUGGCCAACAAAAGCCAUCGCGAAGAGCGCUUAUUAAUUGCUGUGUGCUUUGUUACCGCCCUGGGUGUAAUAAUCAAGUGUGGAUUGUUUUAAUCAGCCUUGGCGUGAUAUUAUGAGCUCUGAGAAAAGUUGAUUUUACACACUGAUGAGUUCGGAGUGAAUCGGCGUUCAGAAGACAGACCGAUAGGCGAGAAGAGAGUCAGAGAAAAAACGGAAGAGUAAAGUUGGGGUCCGAGCAGCAAUGAAUUGGCCCUUGCUCCUUAGUGGACGUUGCAGCUGCGAGGUGUGUGGAAGCUGUGGGGCAGGAGUUGGCAACCAGCAGCCCUCAGCCAGCAAUAAUAUCUGCAGGGCUGCUGGAUUAUUAUUAUAUAUGUUAGUAUUUUUUCUAAAUCGAGUCAUGACAGUUAGAGGCAGGCGCAAACAUUCACACCACAGUCUGCAGGGCAAACAGCACUGCAGACUGUGGACAGCGCCUGAUGCUGAAACGAAGGACUGUCCCUGCAGCAGCAGCAGUUAUCAACAGAAUCACAUCUUUCAUGAAGUCAUCUUCUUUUUAACUCUUUCUGUUAAAGUCUACAGUAUAAGUGUUUUGUAUGAAAGGCCUAGCACCAGGUUCUUACUGAAUAAACUAUGGUAGUAUUUAUCGUAUUUUUGAGCUUUCGUGGCCCUGUCUGGAGUGGAACGGCCAAACUGAAGGUAGUGUAACAACAUUUUUUUGCAUAAUAUACACACAGCAGUUUCGCAUUUACAGGUAAUGUCCAUCAUUUUAUGUUUACUAUAAUUUUGCUGUCAAAUUUCCACUUUAGGGGUUUUUAAAGAGACAUUUUCCAUGCUAGCUGCGUUGAAUGUACGGCUUUUAUUCACUCUGUUCAUGACAGGGGAGCUGCAUGUGCACAAUAAUAACGCUUCAAGUAAGUGAGGAGGGGCAACCACUGAUGGAAAGAAAAAAACAGUGAGAGUAAAAGUUGAAAUCAAUUAUUUAUAUCAGUUCUCGGUGCUUUACAAAGAGGUAGCCAUUUCCAAAACAAUAAGGAAACACAUGGGGUUUCUUUUUUUUUUAAGUGGAAGUAACACAGUCCAUUAAGUAUAACAAAUGCCUCAUAUAAGCCAGUUAUUAGUCAUAUUUGUGGCUGUUUGCCUCUGACUGUGGCACAGUUGGGUAAGCUUUUGUAAAAGACACCCUGUAACAGACUGCUGUAAAUUUCUACUGCAUUAUUUUAUUGAAUCAAGUUUAUAAAUUAACAUUUGGAUAUGUUCUGGCUCGCCAUCUGGGGGCUCAGAAAAAAGUCUGGCCCAAGGCCAACCUUCCAUACCUUCUCCUGCUGUAGCUGUGACUUUGCUUUGCUGUGCUAAAAUGUAAACAUGUGCUCCAAAUGUAGAUGAGCACAGGCCAAGAUUAACAGCAUAUAUGUAAAUGUCGACCAUAUGGAGCACCGUGUAAGGUCAAACUUUGUUUUAGUACCAGGUGGGGAAGUUAUUCUCUGCGGUUAUGUUUAAGACAAUGUGCUUAUAAAAUAUUACAAAUAUAAUGGACAUGGUUGGAGGAUCCUAGAGUGAGUUAAACUAAAUGUAGAAAAUAUUUUUAGAAUUAAAUCAGAAUGCUAGACUUCAUGUUGGGUUAAGGGUGUGAGUGUAAGAGGGUUUUUCAUCUUGGCAUGAUUUAUAUGUAUUCCCUGAUUGAUACCUGUGGGUUAAAGCAAACUCUAUAAAACUCUGUUUUGGGGAAACUUAAAGUCCCACUCAGAUUUUUUUUUUUUACUACUUUAAGUGUUAUCAAUGUUCUUUAAGUUGUGAUUACGAAGUUUUUAACCAAAAUCAAGUUAUCUGUGUCAUUCUCAAGGAUUUUUCUUCUGCAGAGCUUCAGUAGCUCAUUAGCAAUUAGCCUCUGAGUCGUGGGCGGAGACGGCGCUGCUUCUCUUUGCAUUGUAGCCUAAUAUUGCCGGUGUAGUCAAAGUAGAGGUAACAUAGGAGCUAUUCAGCUCUCAGACACUGAUGUCGUUAGGGACAUGAUGAAAGUUAAUAUUUUAUUUAGCUUUCUUACGAGCAUUGCAAUCUGCUAAUGCACACGCUUGUUCCCAGAUUGUCCUCUCUAUUUCUCUGAGUCUAGCUUGCAUAGCAGGGCUCCAGGGGUGGAGCUUGGAUUUGCUAUAUAGGAAAUCUCACUGGUCUGAACUUGCCGUUUGGGUCUGCCAGAGAUUCACAGCAAUUUGAAUGCAGAAAUACUCAAAAAUGCAAUUUCGCUCUUACUUUUCUCAUGAUAUGUCCUGUAGCAUCAGAAAAAUGCCAUAUAAAGUCUUUAAAGGGUGUGCUUUAGAGCCAGGUUUGCAAAGUUGUGUGAAAGACAGUUACUUUUUUUAUCAGACGUGUUGCCAAAAUGAAUUAAUUAUUUAGUGCUCGUAAUGUACAGGGGUUCCAUCGGGACUCAUGCCCUGUUCUGGGCUCGUGCCCCAGAUCUGGAAGGGGCAAAAUGAAUACAGAGGCAGGAAGUUGCAGGGAAAUGAAAGUGCGGUACACUGAUUGAGAGGCGGUACACACGGAUGAGUGUUUGGCUCACACACACACACACACACACAUACACAUGCCGACUGAGUGAGCAGCAGGGCUGUGGAGUGUAAGCAGGUGUCCUAUGGGAGAGAGUGUACCAUUAGCAGAUCAUUUCCCUCUCCGCUCCAGCAGGCCCUCCUCUAUCAUACCUCUGCUGUCAGCACUGCCUCGGAGGAUUACUGGGAAAGAGAGAAAGGGAGAGAGAAAGAGAGAGAGAGAGAGAGGAAAAAGGGGGAGGAAAAGAGAGGGAUAGAAACUGGGCAAACGGGUGGGGAAGGAGAGCAGAGUGUGAAAUUGAAUCUUGCAUAGACCCUAUGUGCCCUCAAAACUGUGAUUAUUACCCAGUGGACAUUUUUAUCCCUGUCUCCCAAUUCAUUUUCCCCCUGGGAGAAUAUCGCCAGAACAUAAUGACUAUGGCGGAGCUGAAGGUCUAUGUUUACCAGAGGCUACUUCAAGGAAAAACUAGUAAAUACCAGAUAUAGCUGUUACAGGAGUUGUCCUGGACUCUGGAUCCCGGUCCACAAACACAGAGCAGACACAGCUAAAAAAAUGUCGCUGUGGUUUGUUUUGGUGGAGUGGGUCAGUACGUGACACCUCCCCUGAUCCCUGACCCGCCGUCCCUCUUGAGAGCCGCGCUAGCUGGGGGCAAAGUGGUGGCCUGGCUGGCAACAUGCCCACUGUCAUCAGAGAUAAGGACGCCUCUCCACAUCCAAUGCCCAGGGACAAGGGGGAGGAGAGGCUGCGGAGAUGGAAGGUCAAACUGGAGGAGGAGGAUGGACGAAGGGUGAGAGGGGUGAGAGGGCUGAGAACGGGUAAUGGAGUGGGAGGAUAGAGAGAGAGAUGAAGGGAGGCUGAGAGGAGCUCAAAUCCAACACAGCCUUCAGCUGCCGGACAUCACAGACAUGUGAACGCCUGUAUGGAAAUAUCCCACUAGGCUUUGCGCUGUGACAUGAAAGCAGACUGCAAAACAGAGGCAAGUUAUAAAUAACGGAGUGGUAAGCAGGGUGCAAUAGAGCACAGUAAAACAGUGCACACAUGCAUCCAUGCAUGUGUAGCCAUAUGCUUUAGUAAAAAAAUGGUUCCUUAUGCAUGAACACAUUACUUCCUAUGAAUAAAACAGUGUAGAACAGCUCACUCAUGUGCAUAUCAAACAAUACUGUUGUCAACAGUUUCCUUCUAAAUUUCAGCACCAUGUUGCUGCUCGUAAAACUGACAGGAUUGUGGAGCUUUUGGUUGCAUGGUCAACAUUGAUAACCAAGACCAAUGCUCACAAAGGACAGUGGCUUCAUCUCAGGGGCCUUAGAUUGUAUCCAUUAGGGUUGGGCAUCUUAGGUAUAAGGCUGAUACGAUACACGUCUCGAUCCGAUGUCUCCGAUCUGAUAUAUUAUAGAUACGUGUGUGGCAUUAUGCGAUGCAAUAUUAUACGAUUCACACCCAAAUCCCGAUACAGAGCUACUCU